rnacentral:rRNA from 1 species
AGUGAACGCUGGCGGUAGGCCUAACACAUGCAAGUCGAACGGCAACACAGUAAGAGCUUGCUCUUACGGGUGGCGAGUGGCGGACGGGUGAGGAAUACAUCGGAAUCUACUUUUUCGUGGGGGAUAACGUAGGGAAACUUACGCUAAUACCGCAUACGACCUACGGUUGAAAGCAGGGGAUCUUCUGACCUUGUGCGAUUGAAUGAGCCGAUGUCGGAUUAGCUAGUUGGCGGGGUAAAGGCCCACCAAGGCGACGAUCCGUAGCUGGUCUGAGAGGAUGGUCAGCCACACUGGAACUGGGACACGGUCCAGACUCCUACGGGAGGCAGCAGUGGGGAAUAUUGGACAAUGGGCGCAAGCCUGAUCCAGCCAUACCGCGUGGGUGAAGAAGGCCUUCGGGUUGUAAAGACCUUUUGUUGGGAAAGAAAAGCAGCAGGUUAAUACCCCGCUGUUCUGACGGUACCCAAAGAAUAAGCACCGGCUAACUUCGUG